CACAAGCGAAGAAGCAUGUGCACAAGCGAAGAAGCAUGUGGUUUAAUUCGAAGCAACGCAAGAACCUUACCAGGUCUUGACAUCCUUUGACCACUCUAGAGAUAGAGCUUCCCCUUCGGGCAAAGUGACAGGUGGUGCAUGGUUGUCGUCAGCUCGUGUCGUGAGAUGUUGGGUUAAGUCCCGCAACGAGCGCAACCCUUAUUGUUAGUUGCCAUCAUUUAGUUGGGCACUCUACCGGACGCAACGCGUGCGGGAUGCACGCUCAAAUCAUCAUGCCCCUUAUGCACCUGGGCUACACACGCUGCUCAAUGGGAAGUACAACGAGUCGCAAAGUCGCGAGGCUAAGCUAAUCUCUUAAAGCUUCUCUCAGUUCGGAUUGUAGGCUGCAACUCGCCUACAUGAAGCCGGAAUCGCUAGUAAUCGCGGAUCAGCACGCCGCGGUGAAUACGUUCCGGCCUGUACACACCGCCCGUCACACCACGAGAGUUUGUAACACCCGAAGUCGGGUGAGGUAACCUUUUGGAGCCAGCCGCCUAAGGUGGGAGAUUGAUUGGGGGUGAAGUCGUAACAAGGUAGCCGUAUCGGAAGGUGCGCUGGAUCACCUUCCUUUCUAAGGAAU
rnacentral:rRNA from 1 species